rnacentral:rRNA from 1 species
AUUGAACGCUGGCGGCAUGCCUUACACAUGCAAGUCGAACGGCAGCACGGGUGCUUGCACCUGGUGGCGAGUGGCGAACGGGUGAGUAAUACAUCGGAACAUGUCCUGUAGUGGGGGAUAGCCCGGCGAAAGCCGGAUUAAUACCGCAUACGCACUACGGAUGAAAGCGGGGGACCUUCGGGCCUCGCGCUAUCGGGUUGGCCGAUGGCUGAUUAGCUAGUUGGUGGGGUAAAGGCCUACCAAGGCGACGAUCAGUAGCUGGUCUGAGAGGACGAACAGCCACACUGGGACUGAGACACGGCCCAGACUCCUACGGGAGGCAGCAGUGGGGAAUUUUGGACAAUGGGCGAAAGCCUGAUCCAGCAAUGCCGCGUGUGUGAAGAAGGCCUUCGGGUUGUAAAGCACUUUUGUCCGGAAAGAAAUCCUUGGCCCUAAUACGGUCGGGGGAUGACGGUACCGGAAGAAUAAGCACCGGCUAACUACGUG